GUAAAGUUGGCGUAGACGGAAUAUAUCACUCUACGGUUUUCGAACAGUUUUCGAGUAUAGCCUUUAAUUGGAUUUCAAGAGGUACGAAAGUAGACUAAGCCAAUUCAUCCCAUUACAUAUACGCAGCGCAUAGCAAAGUUUUAAGCAGCUCGUCCUUACAUGGUUGCAAUAAUGUGUUGGUACACAUAAACAGCUUAAAAUGAGGAACACCCCACGCGAAGCGUAUAAAGAUGGCCUCUUUCAGCCCAGACGAUUCAGUUGGUAGAAAUCACACAUAGCUGGAUGUGGAAAAAUAAAUAGUGCUGAAGCGUUGUUAUUGUAAUUAAAAGAUCAGUUGAUUUUUCAGGAAACUACUUCUUCUUCACAAAUGUCUUUAAGUAGUUCGAACAAUACUUUGUCAACCUACUGGCAAAAUCAAACAGAAACCGUCAGUGAAAUACUGAAAAGGCUAGUCCGCAAUAUUCGCUAUGCUAGUCGUCGUUACCGUACUGUUCGAAACGAAUACGAUCGACUCCACGAUCCAAUCAUUUCCAAAGCCUAUUCCACAAUGGCAGCUCGGAGUUCGCCCUGUGAUGGAAAACGGCAUUUUCUAGCAUAAAAGAGUUUUUAUUUCUUUUUAUAUUCAAACUUCUAAACGAGAAACUUCAGGAAACUUCGACACGUACCCAGGCCUAUUAGAUUUCUUCGGCUGAAAUUGUAAGAAAGUAUGGUGAGCUUCAAGAUGGAUUCUCUUCGUGAAAUAAAUAAAUGUAUAUAUACAUGUACAUAUAUAUUGUUGACGAUUGUCACUUGAAAAUUUUAUUGACGCGUUGAAAAAUUAAAAUUAUCCGACAACUGACUGGCUUCCAAUGCUGAAAGCAAUAGGCCCUAUUUAUCGUGGAUUCAGCAUCAGUUUCUUCUGUUCUCGAAAAACAUUCAUUUCCAUUGACCGUUACGGAAAAAUCUCAUAAAAAAUCUUAAAGAAAUACACGAGAACUAACUGAGA